rnacentral:siRNA from 1 species
CAUAUCAGGUCGUCUGUCUGAUG